rnacentral:lncRNA from 1 species
UGAAUUGCUGCUCUGUCACUGCCAACAAAAUGUCCCAAAGGGACCAAACCAUCAUUAGUUCAUCAUAAAAACAAAGUCAAAGAAGCAUCAACAUCACAAUUGCCAUAGGAGAAUGACUGAAACAUUACAAAUUCAGUACUAUGUAGUACUACUUUAGGAGUAGAGUGUACCUGCCUUUUCUGUGUGCAGGUACAGUGCAUCCGUGCAUUGACCUCAUGUCAGAGAACAGUAAAUUAGAGGGAUCUCAUCCCUUACGAACAUGCUAUCUUCGUAGCAUUCUUUUGAGAAUUAAGAGCGAAAAUGCCAUUUGCUAUGGGCUUCACACAUGAAUCGUGAUGCCGUUUUCUAUGUGUAACAUAUGCUUAGUUUUUAGUGGCCUCCAGAUAGAUAGUGUCGGGUUCACUUUGGAAUAAAUCAAUCUCGUCGGGAAGAAAGGUCAG